rnacentral:rRNA from 1 species
GACGUAGGGGGCAAGCGUUGUCCGGAAUUAUUGGGCGUAAAGCGCUCGUAGGCGGAUCGGUAAGUCUGUGAAGAAAGACCCGGGCUCAACUCGGGGAACGGCAUAGAUACUGCUGAUCUUGAGACAGUCAGAGGAUGAUGGAAUUCCAGGUGUAGCGGUGAAAUGCGUAGAUAUCUGGAGGAACACCGGUGGCGAAGGCGGCAUCCUGGACCGACACUGACGCUGAGGAGCGAAAGCCAGGGGAGCAAACGGG